rnacentral:lncRNA from 1 species
GGAUAAUAUUCACUCGGAUAUUGAUUAUAAGGGGAUGAGAAUAGUGCUUUUGGAGGUGUAUUUGGAGGAUAGCAAAAAGGUGGGCAACAGGUCAAUUUCUGGCUAUUCAAAUAUAUGUAUCUAAGAAUUUUUUUCAUGUUUUUAUAUGUAUUUCAAGAAAUACCAUCACAAUCAGCUCAUCGACGCACAUAGUUUUAAUUGUGAUGCAGGCUGGUGGAAUUCACUCGCACCAAGAAUCAGGCCAUUGACGCAUUUGGAGUUGAGACUGCUGUAUCUUUGAUCAAGAUGUUUCAAUAGGUGCUGCUGUACAAUAUUUGGCCUCAUGUGCAACAGUAAGUGUUAUUAAAAAUCCUCCAGUGCCUAUUAAUACAUCAAUACAGGAUAUCCUAUCCCAAACUUCAGACAAAUUGGUGCAAGAAAAAUGUACUAAUCCUAAGAUGCAGUAUUUCAGUCAAAUUUGAGUACUAGCGCUACUGGUAGCUGUGAUAAUAUAAGGGAAGCUGAAAAUUUUAAUCGAAAGUGUACAAGAGCCGCUAAGCUAUCACCUCCUUCACUGAUACAUUGUGCUUUCAAUACCUUGUGCAGACUGAACAUGGCUAUCACUGAUGAGCACGCUGUUUCUGUUCUUCUGUCAAGAAUCUCCAAGGCCUCUAUUGUUGAUUUUGAUGCCAAAGUUGAUGACACAAUCUAUUGAAAAGUAUUACAAGG